UGGGGAAUAUUGCACAAUGGGCGCAAGCCUGAUGCAGCCAUGCCGCGUGUAUGAAGAAGGCCUUCGGGUUGUAAAGUACUUUCAGUCGGGAGGAAGGUGUCAAGGUUAAUAACCUUAUCAAUUGACGUUACCGACAGAAGAAGCACCGGCUAACUCCGUGCCAGCAGCCGCGGUAAUACGGAGGGUGCAAGCGUUAAUCGGAAUUACUGGGCGUAAAGCGCACGCAGGCGGUUUGUUAAGUCAGAUGUGAAAUCCCCGGGCUCAACCUGGGAACUGCAUCUGAUACUGGCAAGCUUGAGUCUCGUAGAGGGGGGUAGAAUUCCAGGUGUAGCGGUGAAAUGCGUAGAGAUCUGGAGGAAUACCGGUGGCGAAGGCGGCCCCCUGGACAAAGACUGACGCUCAGGUGCGAAAGCGUGGGGAGCAAACAGG
rnacentral:rRNA from 1 species